AGUGAACGCUGGCGGUAGGCCUAACACAUGCAAGUCGAACGGCAGCACAGGAGAGCUUGCUCUCUGGGUGGCGAGUGGCGGACGGGUGAGGAAUACAUCGGAAUCUACUCUGUCGUGGGGGAUAACGUAGGGAAACUUACGCUAAUACCGCAUACGACCUACGGGUGAAAGCAGGGGACCUUCGGGCCUUGCGCGAUUGAAUGAGCCGAUGUCGGAUUAGCUAGUUGGCGGGGUAAAGGCCCACCAAGGCGACGAUCCGUAGCUGGUCUGAGAGGAUGAUCAGCCACACUGGAACUGAGACACGGUCCAGACUCCUACGGGAGGCAGCAUUGGGGAAUAUUGGACAAUGGGCGCAAGCCUGAUCCAGCCAUACCGCGUGGGUGAAGAAGGCCUUCGGGUUGUAAGCCCUUUUGUUGGGAAAGAAAUCCAGCUGGCUAAUACCCGGCUGGGAUGACGGUACCCAAAGAAUAAGCACCGGCUAACUUCGUGCCAGCCGCCGCCGUAA
rnacentral:rRNA from 1 species